UGCCAAUUAAAAUUAGGACUUUAAUUGCAAUUAAGUAAUUUAAUUGCCAAUUGAACAGCAAAAUUGCUAAGUGACUAAUUUUAAUGCCUAUUUUAAUUACCAAUCAUGACUGGGGAGGGAGCUAAUCAAGCAGUAUCAGAGUAAUGAUGUGAAAAAAAGCGGAGAACAAACAUUCCAGACUCCAUGCUUUUUAAAAAGAACUCCAAAUUAAAUAACUGCAAACACAAUUCCAGACAUGUGGGGAAACGCUGGAUUGGGGUACCUGGAGGCAGGAGCACAAAGAACACGUUUGAUUACAGAGAGCAUCACUCUUCCCCCAGGUGAGGAUCACGGGGGCAGCGGUGUCCCCUGGCCCUGCCCGGAGCUCCAGGAGCUGGGGACAGCCCCUCACCCCUGUGGGAGCUCCCGUGGGACAGCAGCAGCCACAGCCACAGCUCUGGGCAGCUGCAGGAGAUGCCAGCAGCAGGAGAUGGGGCACACGGAGGGGCCACAAGCACCUCUGGGCCUGCAGUCCCAUUUGGGAGCAGAUCCCCACACACACUCCCGAAGUUCAUCGUCCCGGCAGGCUCCAGCUGCCACGGGUGAGGAUUUCCAGCCCACGGCUCCUGCAGGGCCAGCUCAGCUGAUCCACGGGCUGGAAGGGCAUCUGGUGCUGCCACUUCCCAUAAAAACCCCCAAAUCCGUGCCAGUCCUGCCCGUGAGUGCAGCAAAUUCCCGAGGAAGGAAAGGCACCUCUUGCCUCGAUGAGGAAGCCCAGGAUGGGUGCUUGGUGGGGCUGUUCCUCUCCUGUAGGAAGAGUGCAACGGGAUCACCAUGGAGAGCUUUUCAUCCAGGCAGUCCUGAGACAGCGCAGGGGGUGCUGCACUGCAGCGUGGCACACUCGGGGUGCACUGGCACACUCGGCGUACAGUGGCACACUCGGGGUGGGCAGUGGCACACUCAGGAUGGGCAGUGGCACACUCGGGGUGCACUGGCACACUCAGGAUGGGCAGUGGCACACUCAGGAUGGGCAGUGGCACACUCAGGGUGCAGUGGCACACUCGGGGUACAGUGGCACACUCAGGAUGGGCAGUGGCACACUCGGGGUGCAGUGGCACACUCAGGAUGGGCAGUGGCACACUCAGAUCGGGCAGUGGCACACUCAGGAUGGGCAGUGGCACACUCAGGUCGGGCAGUGGCACACUCAGGUCGGGCAGUGGCACACUCAGGAUGGGCAGUGGCACACUCAGGAUGGGCAGUGGCACACUCAGGGUGGGCAGUGGCACACUCAGGAUGGGCAGUGGCACACUCAGGAUGGUCAGUGGCACACUCAGAUCGGGCAGUGGCACACUCGGGGUGCACUGGCACACUCGGGGUACAGUGGCACACUCAGGAUGGGCAGUGGCACACUCGGGGUGCAGUGGCACACUCAGGUCAGGCAGUGGCACACUCGGGGUACAGUGGCACACUCAGGAUGGGNNNN
rnacentral:lncRNA from 1 species